CCCUUAGAUGUCCUGGGCCGCACGCGCGCUACACUGAUGCAUGCAACGAGUUUAUAACCUUGGCCUGAAAGGUCUGGGUAAUCUUUUGAACGUGCAUCGUGAUAGGGAUAGAUUAUUGCAAUUGUUAAUCUUGAACGAGGAAUUCCUAGUAAACGCGAGUCAUCAGCUCGCAUUGAUUACGUCCCUGCCCUUUGUACACACCGCCCGUCGCACCUACCGAUUGAAUGGUUCGGUGAAGAUCUCGGACUUCGAUAUUUAUUCUUUAUUGAGUUUAUAUUGUGGGAAGUGAUCUAAACCUCAUCAUUUAGAGGAAGGUGAAGUCGUAACA
rnacentral:rRNA from 1 species